CACCCAGACUCCUACGGGAGGCAGCAGUGGGGAAUAUUGGGCAAUGGGCGCAAGCCUGACCCAGCAACGCCGCGUGAAGGAAGAAGGCUUUCGGGUUGUAAACUUCUUUUAAGAGGGAAGAGAAGAAGACGGUACCUCUUGAAUAAGCCACGGCUAACUACGUGCCAGCAGCCGCGGUAAUACGUAGGUGGCAAGCGUUGUCCGGAUUUACUGGGUGUAAAGGGCGUGCAGCCGGGCUGACAAGUCAGAUGUGAAAUCCCGCGGCUCAACCGCGGAACUGCAUUUGAAACUGUAGCUCUUGAGUACUGGAGAGGCAGACGGAAUUCCUAGUGUAGCGGUGAAAUGCGUAGAUAUUAGGAGGAACACCAGUGGCGAAGGCGGCCUGCCGGACGAUGACUGACGUUGAGGCUCGAAAGCGUGGGGAGCAAACAGGAUUAGAUACCCCGGUAAAU
rnacentral:rRNA from 1 species